CCAGACUCCUACGGGAGGCAGCAGUGAGGGAUAUUGGUCAAUGGGGGAAACCCUGAACCAGCAACGCCGCGUGAGGGAAGACGGUUUUCGGAUUGUAAACCUCUGUCCUCUGCGAAGAUAAUGACGGUAGCAGAGGAGGAAGCCCCGGCUAACUACGUGCCAGCAGCCGCGGUAAUACGUAGGGGGCAAGCGUUAUCCGGAUUUACUGGGUGUAAAGGGAGCGUAGACGGCAGGGCAAGCCAGAAGUGAAAACGCAGAGCUUAACUUUGCGACUGCUUUUGGAACUGCCCAGCUAGAGUACAGGAGAGGUAAGUGGAAUUCCUAGUGUAGCGGUGAAAUGCGUAGAUAUUGGGAGGAACACCAGUGGCGAAGGCGGCUUACUGGACUGAGACUGACGUUGAGGCUCGAAAGCGUGGGGAGCAAACAGGAUUAGAUACCCCGGUACA
rnacentral:rRNA from 1 species